rnacentral:misc_RNA from 1 species
UGGCAGGAUCAACCAGGUAGCAUUCCUCUUCGACGUCACCGACAGCGUGUGGGCUAGCCAACUCACUGUCGACGGUCGUAUUUGAGAAGCGAGAACGCUUGAUAUGGGCAAAAGAGAGGCAAUGAAGCCCCCAUACCCGCAUAAGCUUCUGCAUCCAAGAUACCAGUCAAUGCUUAGUGAGCCAUGUCAUCGACGCAUUAACGUCAAAAAGAUGGAUCACAAAGAUUGCUUUGGUGUUCACCAUGCGUCGCGGAGCGAAUCAUGAUGAAAAUUACAUCGAUAAGGCAACCGAAUUCCGUCAUGUAGGUAUGCAACACAGGGAACCCAAAUGAAGCACAAAGUUAAACCAACCUUGUCGCGCGACUGAAGUGACAUGCACGAGUGGACGUUGCUGCUCAAGCAGACAUCCAACCACCCGUAACAUGUCGAACACCACUCACACACCUUUACGGAAUGGCAUUCCGUGGGAAAAACCCCCUAGCCCGCCACCCGCUCAUCUCAAAGGAAAAGCAAGCAACGAGGAAGAAGGAAUAUCCCCAGAAUGC